AUGAAAUUGAUCUGCCCGUGCAGAAGCGGACAUAAAUACAUAAGACGAGAAGACCCUAUGGAGCUUUAGACACCAGGCAGAUCACGUCAAGUAACCUUGAAUUAACAAGUAAAAACGCAGUGACCCCUAGCCCAUAUGUCUUUGGUUGGGGCGACCGCGGGGGAAAACAAAGCCCCCAUGUGGACUGGGGGCACUGCCCCCACAACCAAGAGUCACAACUCUAAGUACCAGAAUUUCUGACCAAAAAUGAUCCGGCAUGACGCCGAUCAACGGACCGAGUUACCCUAGGGAUAACAGCGCAAUCCUCUCCCAGAGUCCCUAUCGA
rnacentral:rRNA from 1 species